AUACGGAGGGUGCAAGCGUUAUUCGGAAUCACUGGGCGUAAAGGACGCGUAGGCGGGUUGGCAAGUCAGAUGUGAAAUCCUACAGCUUAACUGUAGAACUGCAUUUGAAACUGCUAACCUAGAGUAUGGGAGGGGGAGAUGGAAUUAGUGGUGUAGGGGUAAAAUCCGUAGAUAUCACUAGGAAUACCGAAAGCGAAGGCGAUCUCCUGGAACAUAACUGACGCUGAGGCGCGAAAGCGUGGGGAGCAAACAGGAUUAGAAACCCCGGUAGUCC
rnacentral:rRNA from 1 species